GGAGGCAUAGCUCAGCUGGGAGAGCACCUGCCCCACACGCAGGGGGUCACAGGUUCAAGUCCUGUUGUCUCCACCA
rnacentral:tRNA from 1 species